rnacentral:rRNA from 1 species
GCAAUUCGACAUGGUCUGAUUAUUGUUUAUUUUGUUGUUUUUAUUUGUAUUUUUAUUUUGUUAUUAAAAAAUUAUUUUUGUUAUUGUAUUUUUUUUGAUUCAAUCUUUUUUACUAUAGUUUAUUUGUACCGUGGGGGGUUAUUUAUUGAUUAUUUAUGUGGAAGUAGAUUUUAUUUGUUGUACCUUGUGUAUCAGGGUUCAUUGAAUUUUAUUAUUUAUUUUUAUUUCCCGAUUUUAAAGGAGUUAAUGAUUUAUUUUAUUUACUGUUUUAAUAGUAUUGAUAAUAUGUUAUUGGUAAUGAGAUGUUAUUCGUCUUUAGUGGUUUCUGGUUUUCCAAGAAAUGAAUUUAAUUCAUACAUUUUAUUUAAUUUCUGUUUUUAUAUUAUUUAUUUUUAUUUUGUGUAAAAAUUAAGGGGGAUUAGCUCCUUAUUUUAUUAUUAUAAUUAAUUUAUUUCAAUUUAGUUUUGUGGAUUUUAUAUUGAUUUUCAAUUUGAUUAUGUUAAAAUUUUAUUUAUUUUUUUGUUAAUUUUUUAUUAAUUUAGUUUUUUAUUGGAAUGUUUAUUUUUCUUUCUUUUGUAUAGUGAUUAUUGUGUAAUUAGUAAAUCUUGCUUUUAUGUUGUUUUGUGAUGUGUUAAUUUCUUUUUAGGAAUUCGGCAAAAUUUUAUGUCCGCCUGUUUAACAAAAACAUCUUUUCUUGUUAGUUUUUGAAGUAUGGCCUGCCCACUGACUUUUUGUUGAAGGGCCGCGGUAUUUUGACCGUGCAAAGGUAGCAUAAUCAUUAGUUCUUUAAUUGUGAUCUGGUAUGAAUGGCUUGACGAGGCAUAUACUGUCUUAGAGGUAUUGUUUGUUGAAUUUAAUUUUUGAGUUAAAAUUCUUAGAUGUUUUUAUGGGACGAGAAGACCCUAUAGAGUUUAACAUUUAUUUUAUUAUAAUUUGUUGUUUGUUUUUAUUUUUAAUUGGGUUAAGUGUUUUGUUGGGGUGAUGGGAGGAAUGUUUUUAACUCCUCUUUGUUUUUAUAUAUUGAUUUAUAUUUUUUUGAUCCAUUUAUUUUGAUUAUAAGAUUAAAUUACCUUAGGGAUAACAGCGUUAUCUUCCUUGAGAGUUCUUAUUGGCGGGGAGGUUUGCGACCUCGAUGUUGGAUUAAGGUGAAUUUUUGGUGCAGGAGCUGAAAUGAUUGGGUCUGUUCGACCUUUAAAACCUUACAUGAUCUGAGUUCAGACCGGCGUGAGCCAGGUUGGUUUCUAUCUAUAAUAAUUUUUAUAUCUUAGUACGAGAGGACCGGAUAUUUGAAAUAAUUUUAUUUUGUAUGAUUUUUAUUAAUAUGUUACUAUUUUGGCAGAUAAGUGCACUGGAUUUAGAAUCUAUUAAUGUAAAAUUUA